CUGUAUAGAUGAAAUCACAGAACAAGAAACCAACAAUCGGGCUAGGACCAGAACUCGAAAUCGGAAAAUAGGAACUCAACUCGAACCUCGAUGGACAGUGACGAUCUCUACCCGACCGAUCUCGAACAAGAACAGGGAACUCGGACCAACAAAAUUCAAACAAGUUCCAUAACGAGACGCAUAUGGAAAUCAAAAGAAGACUAUUGAAAUUUA
rnacentral:lncRNA from 1 species